CGCUAUGACUUCUAGUUUCUUUUACUAUGCUUGCCCGACUUCAUACAUACAUACACGUGUAGAUACAAUUUUUUUUUACUUUGUAGUAGUUUUGGAAGUCGGUUUCUUAAUAGUUUUUUUAUUUUAAGCUUUUUAGUGUAAGAAGACGUUGCUUGGUACCUAAAAUAACAAUUCACCAGCAAAACUUUCCAAAUCCACACCGCUUAGGAGUUCAGUACCUUGCAGCAUCAGAAUUGAAGAAUAGAGAUCCAAAGUA